GGGGAGAUUCCCGAGUGGUCAAAGGGGGCAGACUGUAAAUCUGUUGUCUGACGGCUUCGAAGGUUCGAAUCCUUCUCUCCCCA
rnacentral:tRNA from 1 species